GACGAACGCUGGCGGCGUGCUUAACACAUGCAAGUCGAGCGGUAAGGCCCUUUCGGGGUACGACGAGCGGCGAACGGGUGAGUAACACGUGGGUGACCUGCCCUCAGCUCUGGGAGUAAGCCUGGGAAACGUGGGUCUAAUACUGGAUAUGACUCCACGGUGCAUGUCGUGGGGUGGAAAGCCUUGUGCGGCUGAGGAUGGGCCCGCGGCCUAUCAGCUUGUUGGUGGGGUGAGGCCUACCAAGGCGACGACGGGUAGCCGGCCUGAGAGGGCGACCGGCCACACUGGGA
rnacentral:rRNA from 1 species